rnacentral:rRNA from 1 species
AUUGAACGCUGGCGGCAUGCUUUACACAUGCAAGUCGAACGGUAACAGGGUGCUUGCACCGCUGACGAGUGGCGAACGGGUGAGUAAUGCGUCGGAACGCACCGAGUAAUGGGGGAUAACGCAGCGAAAGCUGUGCUAAUACCGCAUACGCUCUGAGGAGGAAAGCGGGGGACCUUCGGGCCUCGCGUUAUUCGAGCGGCCGACGUCUGAUUAGCUAGUAGGUGAGGUAAGAGCUCACCGAGGCGACGAUCAGUAGCCGGUCUGAGAGGAUGAUCCGCCAGACUGGGACUGAGACACGGCCCAGACUCCUGCGGGAGGCAGCAGUGGGAAAUUUUGGACAAUGGGCGCAAGCGUGAUCCAGCCAUGCCGCGUGUCUGAAGAAGGCCUUCGGGUUGUAAAGGUCUUUUGUCAGGGAGGAAAUCCUUAGCGCUAAUACCGUUGAGGGAUGACAGUACCUGAAGAAUAAGCACCGGCUAACUACGUGCCAGCAGCCGCCGUAA